GCUCGGGCGUCGACUGGGACAGGGUGCUCGCCGCCUACGGGGCGGUGCGGCCCGAGCACUGCCGCCGGGUCGUCACCACCGCCCGGGCG
rnacentral:tRNA from 1 species